rnacentral:tRNA from 1 species
GCCCCGGUGGCGAAAUAGGUAGACGCACAGGACUUAAAAUCCUGAGAUUCGCAAGGGUCGUGCCGGUUCAAGUCCGGCCCGGGGCACCA